rnacentral:rRNA from 1 species
UAAAACAGUCAUAUCACCCUGCAGCCCAAGACUGGUUGCCCACUGAAGCUAAGCAGGGUUGAGCUGGUCAAUACCUGGAUGGGAGACCUCCUGGGAAGACUAGGUUGCUGCUGGAA